UGAGCCCCCUAAAGAGUCGUUCAAGACCAGGACGUUGAUAGGUCAGGUGUGGAAGCGCAGCAAUGCGUUAAGCUAACUGAUACUAAUUGCUCGUGCGGCUUGACCCU
rnacentral:rRNA from 1 species